UCCCUGGUGUCUCAGAUGGUAAAGAAUCUGCCUGCAAUGUGGGAGACCCAGGUUCAAUCCCUGGUUUGGGAA
rnacentral:tRNA from 1 species